GACAGCGUGUCCGAGUGGUUAAGGAGAUGGACUUGAACUCCAUUAGGCUCUGUCUGCGCAGGUUCGAAUCCUGCCGCUGUCG
rnacentral:tRNA from 2 species